GGCUCAGAUUGAACGCUGGCGGCAUGCCUUACACAUGCAAGUCGAACGGCAGCACGGACUUCGGUCUGGUGGCGAGUGGCGAACGGGUGAGUAAUGUAUCGGAACGUACCUUUCAGUGGGGAUAACGUAGCGAAAGUUACGCUAAUACCGCAUAUUCUGUGAGCAGGAAAGCAGGGGAUCGCAAGACCUUGCGCUGAUUGAGCGGCCGAUAUCAGAUUAGCUAGUUGGUGAGGUAAAGGCUCACCAAGGCGACGAUCUGUAGCGGGUCUGAGAGGAUGAUCCGCCACACUGGAACUGAGACACGGUCCAGACUCCUACGGGAGGCAGCAGUGGGGAAUUUUGGACAAUGGGGGCAACCCUGAUCCAGCCAUGCCGCGUGAGUGAAGAAGGCCUUCGGGUUGUAAAGCUCUUUCGGCCGGGAAGAAAUCGCAUGGGCUAAUACCCUGUGCGGAUGACGGUACCGGCAUAAGAAGCACCGGCUAACUACGUG
rnacentral:rRNA from 1 species